rnacentral:rRNA from 1 species
UGGCGGCAGGCCUAACACAUGCAAGUCGAGCGGUAGCACAGGAGAGCUUGCUCUCUGGGUGACGAGCGGCGGACGGGUGAGUAAUGUCUGGGAAACUGCCUGAUGGAGGGGGAUAACUACUGGAAACGGUAGCUAAUACCGCAUAACGUCUUCGGACCAAAGUGGGGGACCUUCGGGCCUCACGCCAUCAGAUGUGCCCAGAUGGGAUUAGCUAGUAGGUGGGGUAAUGGCUCACCUAGGCGACGAUCCCUAGCUGGUCUGAGAGGAUGACCAGCCACACUGGAACUGAGACACGGUCCAGACUCCUACGGGAGGCAGCAGUGGGGAAUAUUGCACAAUGGGCGCAAGCCUGAUGCAGCCAUGCCGCGUGUGUGAAGAAGGCCUUCGGGUUGUAAAGCACUUUCAGCGAGGAGGAAGGGUAGUGUGUUAAUAGCACAUUGCAUUGACGUUACUCGCAGAAGAAGCACCGGCUAACUCCGUGCCAGCAGCCGCGGUAAUACGGAGGGUGCAAGCGUUAAUCGGAAUUACUGGGCGUAAAGCGCACGCAGGCGGUUUGUUAAGUCAGAUGUGAAAUCCCCGCGCUUAACGUGGGAACUGCAUUUGAAACUGGCAAGCUAGAGUCUUGUAGAGGGGGGUAGAAUUCCAGGUGUAGCGGUGAAAUGCGUAGAGAUCUGGAGGAAUACCGGUGGCGAAGGCGGCCCCCUGGACAAAGACUGACGCUCAGGUGCGAAAGCGUGGGGAGCAAACAGGAUUAGAUACCCUGGUAGUCCACGCUGUAAACGAUGUCGACUUGGAGGUUGUGCCCUUGAGGCGUGGCUUCCGGAGCUAACGCGUUAAGUCGACCGCCUGGGGAGUACGGCCGCAAGGUUAAAACUCAAAUGAAUUGACGGGGGCCCGCACAAGCGGUGGAGCAUGUGGUUUAAUUCGAUGCAACGCGAAGAACCUUACCUACUCUUGACAUCCAGAGAAUUCGCUAGAGAUAGCUUAGUGCCUUCGGGAACUCUGAGACAGGUGCUGCAUGGCUGUCGUCAGCUCGUGUUGUGAAAUGUUGGGUUAAGUCCCGCAACGAGCGCAACCCUUAUCCUUUGUUGCCAGCACGUAAUGGUGGGAACUCAAAGGAGACUGCCGGUGAUAAACCGGAGGAA